rnacentral:rRNA from 1 species
UACGAAGGGAGCAAGCGUUGUUCGGAAUGACUGGGCGUAAAGGGCGCGUGGGCGGUUUUAUAAGUCAGGUGUGAAAGCCCCGAGCUUAACUUGGGAUGUGCAUUUGAGACUGUAGGACUAGAGAUUGAGAGAGGAAAAAGGAAUUGCGAGUGUAGAGGUGAAAUUCGUAGAUAUUCGCAAGAACACCGAUGGCGAAGGCAUUUUUCUGGCUCAACACUGACGCUGAGGCGCGAAAGCGUGGGGAGCAAACAGG